CUGAGUGACUGACUGCUGCUAUGUGAUCAGGUAAAGAGCAGUCUUCUCAAUGCCCUGUCUAAUGUUCAACCGGUAACUCAUAAGUCUGAUCUUCUAGAGCAUUAGCUGGAGAUUCGUAGACAACCUGUGGCUUUCAGUGUGCCAUCACUUUAAGCAACUUUCUGGCCUUUGGGGGCACUGUCAGGUCUUUUCAUCUCUGGUUUCUGCUCUUUUGUAGAUGGAGGGUGUCCUGGAUACAAUGCUCUUUCUAUGCAAGUGCAAACUGAUGUGUAGUGCAAUCUUCUACCCUGUAUUCACGCAAAUCAUUACCACAGUCAGUCUUUGCUGCAGCUGCCUGUUGUUAUUCACUGACCUCGCUAUCACCCUGUUUCUGGUCUACGUCAGGUUGGCGGAGUCCUGGAUGAAGUCCUGGAUGAAGUCCUGGAUGAAGUCCUGGAUGAAGUCCUGGAUGAUACCUUUUCAGGUGUCUUCCGAUGUGGUGGCACUUCGAUUCCUCCUCUUUCUUUGUCAGGCCUAUGGAUUUGUACUGUUGUUAAUGCCACCUCUGAUUGCUGUAGAGUUGUUGGUUAACCCUGUUGCAUCCUCAAAAAGAAAGGACAGAGGGCAAGGAUACAGAGACAGAGCUUGCGGAGGGGGAUGCAAGUAGACAGCGGCACCAGAGUGAGUCUGUUUCAAGAAUGAUGGGAUUUCUUGGUUGUCUUCUAACAUGGAGUGUGAGUGGGAUUUGCAGUAGUCACAAUUGGAUGUGGGAACAGCGCUCGGUGGAAGCCUGUUUGGAAGGAGGUAGUUGCCUUGUAACAUGUCUUCCCUGUGUUUUCAAUGCCUCCUCUUCCAGUAUGGAUGAGAUCACUUGGGUUCUUCCUACUAUGGUGCUUAUGUUGAGUCUGACAGGGAGCUUGGGCCUACUCAGGACAAAGCUGGCCCACACAGUACCUGACUCACCAAAAAAUACAUUGGUGGCAACGUGGGGCAUAGGGAAGGACUCUGUAGCCCUCGGUCAAAUCCAGUGGCCCACAUUUGACAGAACUGCAAUUCCAAAUGCAUCACAAAGUCCUGGCACAGACACAAAAAAAAAAAAACUGUCGACAUCUGUGCAGUUCACAGGGCUGAAUUUGUGUACAUUGAGCAGCGAUGGUUCUGUCAUGGAAGCACAGUCCGUGCACCAUUUUCAAAUUCAAAAACAGAACUUCUGCUGAAAGUGACAUCAAUUGAACUCAACACAGUUGGCAUUAUGUCUAUAAAAGGACAGACCCAGUCCUGAGACAAGCCCUUCUGACUCAAAGGUGGUGGUCUUGGCAUCCUGAGAGGGACAAGAUCUGCUUGGGGGGUGAAAUGUUCACACUUGUAUGUGUGGUUCUGGUUUGCGUGUUUCCCACAGUUGUUAGUGGUAACAUCAUCCUUAUCUUAAACCUCGAGAACUUGGUGGUGUACCCUCUGAAACUUAUCUUUCUGCCUAUCACAUAGUUCUUUAAAUGACUGUAAUACAAAUUGUCCAUGUAUGUCAACUUUUUAGAUCAUUCGCUUCUACAAGUUCAGUGCAGACGGCCUUAAGCCAUUGCAGAGCGACAGGUGUACACAGGGUGUUAAGUACACAAUACAGUAACAUUCAGCUCAUUUCAAACUAGUUCAGGACGUCAAGAACUGCUCUGACCAAUUCAGUGAUUGAACGAGUCAUUUAAAAUGAUAACUGAUUUGUGAGUCUUAACCGAUUCAUUGAAACAAGUCAUUUGUUCAUGAAUCAUAACAUACUGUUAAUAGUAAUUUAGUAGUGUUCCAAUAACUUUAAAAGAAGAAUGCAGACUUUAAAGAAAAGUUCACAGAACCAAACAUCAUGAAAAUUAGGUAUCAGUAUCUUUUUUUCUAUGGUUCUGAUAAGAAUCUGUUUCUAAAUUCCUAGCCCUACAAAUGAAAGAACAAGAGAUUACGGUACAAGAGAUGUUUAAACUGUUGGGAAAACUUGCGAGGUCAUCUGAAAAGUACACAAGCAGAUCCAUCAAUGUUUGUGUAGUAAAAGAUAAACACAUUUGAUGAACCGUCUACUCACAUGUACUGCAGGAGGGACCUGGGCAAAAUCUGAAAGAAAACUGAGAAAAUUAGAUCUUAAGAAUUCAUGAAUGUAUGAGGUGUAUUUUCUAUUGGAUUCAACAAAGAAAUAAACAAAACAGGGUGUUUUUGAAAGUGCCAGUCGGUUUCAUAUGAGACUAUUGCAUUACUUUACAAUUUACAAGUGGCACUGUUCUUCACAGAACAACUGUGACACAUGAGCAGUGGCAUUUAGGGUUAACACAAAAAAACUGCAAUAAAAUAUUUAUGUCUACAGACGUGCUUGAAGGCACAGGAGAUGUUAUUUGUCAUGAGCACAUUCAUCAAACUCUGUACCUUCAUGCAACUUGUCAUACAGUUUAAAUCAAUACAGAUGAAUGUGUGUUUUUUAUGAAGAAACACAUUCAUGACCGAACAAGCAAUAAUAAGAACUAUCACAGUGACAGUUAAUCUCAGUUCAAACCUCUUGGAAAGGGUUUCAAAUCUUGAAGUAUAACCUUUCAACACCAGAGGUCUCCCUGCACUGUCUUUUGAGGCAAUUGGCAUUUGAAAAUGUAUGCUGAAACUGGAU